AGUGAACGCUGGCGGUAGGCCUAACACAUGCAAGUCGAACGGCAGCACAGUAAGAGCUUGCUCUUACGGGUGGCGAGUGGCGGACGGGUGAGGAAUACAUCGGAAUCUACUUUUUCGUGGGGGAUAACGUAGGGAAACUUACGCUAAUACCGCAUACGACCUACGGGUGAAAGCAGGGGAUCUUCGGACCUUGCGCGAUUGAAUGAGCCGAUGUCGGAUUAGCUAGUUGGCGGGGUAAAGGCCCACCAAGGCGACGAUCCGUAGCUGGUCUGAGAGGAUGAUCAGACACACUGGAACUGAGACACGGUCCAGACUCCUACGGGAGGCAGAAGUGGGGAAUAUUGGACAAUGGGCGCAAGCCUGAUCCAGCCAUACCGCGUGGGUGAAGAAGGCCUUCGGGUUGUAAAGCCCUUUUGUUGGGAAAGAAAAGCAGCAGGUUAAUACCCCGCUGUUCUGACGGUACCCAAAGAAUAAGCACCGGCUAACUUCGUG
rnacentral:rRNA from 1 species